ACGGCUCAGUAACACGUAGCUAACCUAACCUUAAGUCAAGGAUAACCUCGGGAAACUGAGGAUAAUACUUGAUAGGAGAUAUACCCUGGAAAGAUUUAUCUCUCAAACUCGUGCUUAAGGAUGGGGCUGCGGCAGAUUAGGUUGUUGGCGGGGUAAUAGCCCACCAAGCCGAUAAUCUGUAAGGGCUCUUAGCGGAGAGGCCCUGAGAGGGAAUCUGAGACACUAUUCCCAGCCCUACGGGGUGCAGCAGGUAGGUAUCUUUGCAAUGCGCGCAAGCGUGACAAAGCGAGCCAGAGUGCUUUUCAUUGAAAAGCUUUUGUCAAAUUUAAAAAGUUUGGCGAAUAAGGACUGGGCAAGACUAGUGCCAGCCGCCGCGGUAAUACUAGCGAUCCAAGUCGCAGCCAUCAUUAUUGGGUCUAAAACAUCCGUAGCUUGCUAAAUAAGUUUCUUGUGAAAUCCUGUCUCUUAAGGGCAGGGCGUGCAAGAAAUACUGUUUAGCUAGAGACUGGAAGACGUAGAGAGUAUGUCAAAAGUAGCGGUAAAAUGUGUUAAUCUUUGGCAGACUCACAAUAGCGAAGGCACUCUACGAGGACAGUUCUGACAGUGAGGGAUGAAGGCUAGGGGCGCAAAAUGGAUUAGAUACCCAUGUAGUCCUAGCAGUAAACACUGCACACUAAACAUUAGUACCUCUUCGAGAGGUAUUAGUGCUGAAGGGAAGCCGGAGAGUGUGCUACCUGGGAAGUAUAGCCGCAAGGCCGAAACUUAAAGGAAUUGGCGGGGGAGCAC
rnacentral:rRNA from 1 species